rnacentral:lncRNA from 1 species
CCUCUCUCCACGUCCACGGCGCCGAGUCUCGCCACGGUGGCGCAGGCGCCAGGGAGGUUCCCCGGCUUUGCCGCGCGGAGGAAGUCCCGGUUACGCAGAGCGCGCUGGGGCAGGGCUGACCUUCCCCUUUCUCUACUUCACUGGCCUCCUCCAGACGUGGUGGUUGCGCCCUUUCGGCCUCGCUUUCCGUUUUUUGGCUUCAUCCCCUAGAUCUGCAAACAGUUCCUCGUGUUUCUUCCGUUAGCCGGGAAACGCGAACUGCAGCGUUUGGGACCCGGGUUUGCGCGUGUGGAAAGCAAAAGGGGUUACUCUGCUGGAGUUCGACAUUGCAAAUAAAGGUCUUUAUCCCCGGCGGUUCUACAAAAUUAGUUCUGCAGGGAUUCUGGUUGAAAGAAGCGUUAAAGUGGGCCUUGUAGGAGUCAGCAAUAAUCCAAUUUUACAUGGGUGCAGGUGGCUGCCUGUGUCUAGCGCUUUCACACAUCUCAUAUCUUCAUCCACGCCGUGGGUAUUUUUUUUCCACGGUGUGUUUCUGUUGCUGCCUCCAGUAUAUUGCUUAAUCAUCCUACCUGGGUUGAGUUUGUGCAUCGAUUGUGAACACAACAGGCAGCAGGCUAUAAUGGUGGUCCUGGCUGGAGUAGUUUUCACAGACUUCAGUAAUCUGUGGAGAUGAACGGGCAGUUCUCUGUAGUUUUCACAGAUCACUGCCAGUUCGUUUUGAGGCCUUCAGGAGUGAAGACCUGGCUCAUCAUCACUCUUUGUUGUUUUGUUAAAUUUAUUUACACCCUACUUUAUUCCAGAGGAAAGGAUUUAACGUAGUUUACAUAAAUGUGUACAUCAGGGUAAAUUAAAAAUAAGUACAGAGAAAAAUAGGACAAAAGAAAACCGUGAGUGUGAAAGAUAAGAUUAAGCCAGCAGUUUUGUAUGCAAAAUGCAUGGUGUAAGGUCCUAUUGGUUUGCUGGAGGUAGGCCACACAUAUGACUCUCAGUUUUCUAGCAACCAAGAAAAAGAUCAGUUGCAAUCGGAGUAGGUGUUUUGGCUAAGCUGGAACUAGGACUUGAAUAUAGCAGCUUGUAGAGUUAUACCACUUGCCCAAAUCUCUUCCAUGAGCCUCUUUAAGUGUAACAGAAUGCCUGGGAGCACGUAAAUGCUCCUACUUAGAUGCCUACUUAGCCUCUAAUUUUCAUGGGGCCCAUGAAUCCCAUGAAAAAGAACUUUGAACCCUGUCCACAAUUAGAGUUCAGGUAUACGCAGACAUGUUUAAAGACAAGGGACACCCAAAGGAAAGAUUGCACAGAGAGAAAGUGAGCAUCCGAGAGAAAAUCACCACAAGUGAGGCAGAGGGAGGCCGGUCUCAGCAGAGUUUUGGAGGUCGUGAGAAGAAGAGGUAGGAGAUAGGAGAGUGGUUCCGAGUACUUGCCUGCUGAUGUUACCUUCUCCACCCCCACCAGGUUUUCCAGUGCCUGGAGUCUUGGGCAGGAAUGGGCCACUGUAAGAAAGAGCUUUAUCACUAGGGCCUCAGCCAACUUUUCUGUGGGAUAUCCCUCCAAAAUAAUUAAGAGUUCAGAAUGCUUCAGAUUUUGAAGUGAAACUGGUACAUAUAUUAAGUGUUACUUAAUAACCCGAUAGUUUCUAGGGCAGCUCACCAUAAUCCCAAGUAUUAGCCACCACCCUCACCCCCUUCAGAGUAAAAUGUGUUUCCUGAAGGAAGUUGGGAAAAUGAAGAAAAAAAAUACAAAAAUCACCUAUAAUCUUACCAGUCAUAGAUGGCAGUUUUCCUGUCUUAUUUCUGAAUAAUGGUUGUUAAACAUUUGCCAGCACACCAUAAGGCUUAGGGAGGCAUCUGGGUCAUGCAUGUUAAUAUCCUUGGGUAAUUCCAGAAAUCUCUAUGAAGGGAAACUCCUGUUAUUUAUCUAGACUUCCUGAUUGCAAGGGGUUUGGGCAUCAUGAUUUAGGGGUCUUAAUAAAAUUAUUAUUUUAUUUUUACUAAUAGAUAAUGUCUGUGCCUAUCAGAUAAAGGCAAACCAGUGCUCAGAGGAACCCAACCAUCUCUGAAUUGAGACCAGAGAGCUGUCUCUAUGGAUAGUCCUUAGAGAAGGCAUUUCGGAACACAGUAAACAGCAGCCUGGUGACUCCGAUUACAGGGCCAGUUGCCUUUGUUACAAUAAAAGCAAGUCAUCUACACAGAUUUUUCCUACCAGGAAGAGCAUGUGCUGACCAACAGACAUGAAUUUCAGCCUGGUAGUUACAACAUUCACAGUAUACCCACAUCACUAAGCUGGGAGGCACAUUUUGAGACCCAGAAUCCUGACACCUCCAUGCCUUCAAAAGGAUGAGCAGAUUCAUGUAUGACCAGAAUGUAAACCAGGAUCACAGAGCAGCCGGAGAGGUGGUGACAGAACCAUCGAUGGAACCCUGGGCUCCAGGUUCUGACUCCUAUUUUCACUCACUAAUUUUUUUUUUUUGAGAUGGAGUCUUGCUCUGUCGCCAGGCUGGAGUAGAGUGGCAC